rnacentral:rRNA from 1 species
UACAGAGGGGGCAAGCGUUGUUCGGAAUUACUGGGCGUAAAGGGCGCGUAGGUGGCCUUCUAAGUUGAACGUGAAAUCCCUGGGCUCAACCCAGGAACUGCGUCCAAGACUGGGAGGCUUGAAUCCGGGAGAGGGAUGCGGAAUUCCACGUGUAGCGGUGAAAUGCGUAGAGAUGUGGAGGAACACCAGUGGCGAAGGCGGCUUUUUGGUCUGUAACUGACGCUGAGGCACGAAAGUGAUGGGGAUCAAACAGGG